rnacentral:misc_RNA from 1 species
AACGCACAUUGCGCCCUUUAGUAUUCUGAAGGGCAUGCCUGUUCGAGCGUCAUUAUCACUAAUCAAGCCUGGCUUGCUGUUGGACCUCUUGUCGGCAUAUAGCGACAGGCCCCAAAGAUAAUGACGGCGUUAUUUGGACCCUAGAUGCAACGAGCUUGUAUGAGCACGCGUUUAGUUGGACCUUUUAACCCGGUCUUUUUAACCAAUUUCUAAGGUUGACCUCGGAUCAGGUAGGAAUACCCGCUGAACUUAA